AUCGCAUACAAUUUCGACGAAGAAAAGUAAAUAUAGAAUAAAAUUUAGUUGAAAGACUAAAAUAAAACAAUCUGGUGGCAAUUUAUUGAAUCGAGAAGACGGUAGUGAGUAGGGCGUUCAAAUAAAAAUUGCAUUCUGUGGCCGCCGUUGCGCAGGCAAAUGGAACGAGUAAGAUUUCCAAAUGAAAUUGAAGCCACAGCAAAUAGUGCAUAGCUCCAAGGCUUGGAAACAAAUAUAGAAGCUAUACGAUGCCAGAAAGACUACAGAGAAUCGAAGAGCGCUAACCAGGAAACAGCGUAAAAGGGCCAAUUCGUUGAGCAAGGGCGUGCUCAUAGCAUGGAAAUACAAUGCAAACGGUGCCAAC